rnacentral:rRNA from 1 species
GAUGAACGCUGGCGGCGUGCUUAACACAUGCAAGUCGAACGAAGUGGCGGACGGGUGAGUAACGCGUAGUCAACCUCCCCUUCGGAGGGGAACACCAGUUGGAAACGACUGCUAAUCCGGCAUACGGAAGGGGGGGAUUGCGGCGGAUUAGCUUGGUGGGGGGGUAACGGCCCACCAAGGCGAUGGGCAGCAGGCGGGUUGGAAGGGAGGACGGCCACAUUGGGACUGGGACACCGCCCAGACCUCUACGGGGAGGCACAGGGGGGAAUUUUUCGCCAUGGGGGACAGUCCGACGGAGCCACGGCGCGUGAGAUAUGACAGCCUUCGGGUUGUAAAGGUCCUUUAAUCGGGACGCGGUACCGGAAGAGGAAGCACCGGCUAACUACGUGCCAGCCGCCGCGGUAAUUC